rnacentral:rRNA from 1 species
AUGAACGCUGGCGGCGUGCCUAAUACAUGCAAGUCGAGCGAACAGACGAGGAGCUUGCUCCUCUGACGUUAGCGGCGGACGGGUGAGUAACACGUGGAUAACCUACCUAUAAGACUGGGAUAACUUCGGGAAACCGGAGCUAAUACCGGAUAAUAUAUUGAACCGCAUGGUUCAAUAGUGAAAGACGGUUUUGCUGUCACUUAUAGAUGGAUCCGCGCCGCAUUAGCUAGUUGGUAAGGUAACGGCUUACCAAGGCAACGAUGCGUAGCCGACCUGAGAGGGUGGUCGGCCACACUGGAACUGAGACACGGUCCAGACUCCUACGGGAGGCAGCAGUAGGGAAUCUUCCGCAAUGGGCGAAAGCCUGACGGAGCAACGCCGCGUGAGUGAUGAAGGUCUUCGGAUCGUAAAACUCUGUUAUUAGGGAAGAACAAAUGUGUAAGUAACUGUGCACGUAUUGACGGUACCUAAUCAGAAAGCCACGGCUAACUACGUG